CUUCCUGCCCCAACUUUACCAAAAGAAAAUUCUCUUCUCAGUGCUCGCAAAUCCUCUUCGCCGGUUCAACUCGGCCGACUAGGUCAGCCCCAACCUUCUCUCCUUCUUCUCCUCCACCACCGUCUUCUCCGGUCGCGGCUUCUACAAGCUCUACGUGGGUCCUUUCAAAAAAAAUUUACACCGACAAGCUCAGCUUCGUUACUAAAUUAGGGUUAGGCCCUAAUUUACAGUUAUUUUUACAGGCAAUCUUCUUAGCAUGUCAAAAUUUCUGGCUUUGGAUUUGGAGUAAAAAAUUUAUUACCUUUGCAAAAGAGUUCUGUCCAUGAACUCCUAGACCUAACUAGAAAGCAAUGACCUUUCAGUUUUUGGAAACAGUUGAGUUUUUCCAGCUAGGAAAGGCAUUGGUGGUGCAUAUAUCUCACCAAUCCCGUGGACGUGAUCAAAACAAGAUUGCAAGUGCAGGGAUCAACCUUAAGGUGCAACGGUCCGUUAGAUCAAUGUGUAGCAUAAUGGAUGGCUGAAGGUGCACAUAGCAUGAUGCUCAGAGGUAGCAUUCCCAAAAUUACAUGGUAUAUUCUAGCUCCAGCUCCUGCGUUUAUGGCUGUGAAAUUUCUCAGGGACCAUUUCAGAUUUUCAAUGGAGGAUUGAGCAAUGAUAACAUGCAACAAGUUGCCAGCAUGUCAGUAGAAGUUUUUACAAAGGGGAGCGAUAGUAACUUAAACUGAAAUUUUUUCCCACCCUGUCCAGCUUGGGGCAUUUCCAAUGUAACCAAAGUAUUAAUUUGGUCGGUGUUUAGUAAUAUUUUCAUGUAAAAUAUGUAUAUGAGCGCAAUGAGAUUAAAGGGAGGUUUGUUUUU